rnacentral:rRNA from 1 species
UGGGGAAUUUUGGACAAUGGGCGAAAGCCUGAUCCAGCCAUGCCGCGUGAGUGAAGAAGGCCUUCGGGUUGUAAAGCUCUUUUAGUCGGAAAGAAAGAGUUGCAAUGAAUAAUUGUGAUUUAUGACGGUACCGACAGAAAAAGCACCGGCUAACUACGUGCCAGCAGCCGCGGUAAUACGUAGGGUGCGAGCGUUAAUCGGAAUUACUGUGCGUAAAGGGUGCGCAGGCGGUCUUGCAAGUCAGAUGUGAAAGCCCCGGGCUUAACCUGGGAAUUGCGUUUGAAACUACAAGGCUAGAGUGCGGCAGAGGGGAGUGGAAUUCCAUGUGUAGCAGUGAAAUGCGUAGAGAUGUGGAAGAACACCGAUGGCGAAGGCAGCUCCCUGGGUUGACACUGACGCUCAUGCACGAAAGCGUGGGGAGCAAACA